rnacentral:lncRNA from 1 species
CUUGCCAUAGUUUCAUUGAAAAGAAUUACUAGAGUAUACAGGCCAAUGGGAAGGGCAGGAGUCCCUUAGGAUAAUCAUAGCUGUUCCCACUACACUCUUCAAGGUCUUUUGUUCUUCCUUUCUCAUUAGAACAUGACAGCAGCUCUGAGGGGUCAGUGUUGGGAGCCAAUGAGAAAGCUGAAUUUAAGUGACUCACCGGGACCCUUGGGACUCUUCAGAUGGAGAACUUGGCUGUGAAGGACAAGGCUUCUCGGCACUCCUCCGCUCAGCUCUGACCCAGACGGACUUCUAAGAGGCAUUAAUCACCUAUCUUCUGAAACAGGACCUAUCAAUUUGGGCUCCUUCCAGAACUGAAAACUGGUUACAAAUAUGAAACAGAUUUAACUACUGGACUUGAACUCCACAUAAGGAAAAAAAAAAAGAAGAAGAUCCUCAAAGAUCCUCAUCAAAGAAUAGAUGCAGUGUGACUGGCAGGGAUAUCAAAGAGGUGCACUAAAAUCUACGUCCUGUCCUUUUGUCCACCGUGCUUUCUCUACUGCAUUUGCCCUCAGUGACCCGAUUGCCUCCAUUGUAACUGAAGGUGGGGGUCCAGCUGCUUGCUGCUCAACAGCCAAUAAGGAGGCAAGGUUGGUGGAAAUGAAAGUUUGCUGUAUUUUGGAUGCUAGCAAUGGGUUUGGGGGUGGGGCAGACUCCUGUCCAAAGGCUGACUCCCCUCAAAUAACAAUCAGUGAGCAAGAGCUUUGAGAGAUGGAGGGAGGGGCUACAUGUAGAAAGAGCACAGACAGUGCUGACAGUAAUCAUCAGUAGUGUGGUGGUCUGAUCAGUGUCAUCUUGAGUGUUUUCAGUACAGUUAAUCUUCAAUUCCAGGGUCAGUUUGUUCCAAUUUCUUUGAGGCCAGCUCUCAGAAUUGUGACUGCUUAUGUCAUGGCUACAGUCCUGUCAUCUUGUAGUUAGCUUCUUCUACCUGGUGGGAGUUUUAAUAUCUAUAAAAGCUCAAGGAAUAUAGCUCAGAAUAUUGUCUAUAGCCUUUGAGAAGGAACUAAAGAUCCUUGACUUUGUUCAAUGACUGAAUUAUUAUUAUUUGAUCUCUUUUGACUGUUUUCCUUUAUUUCUGCCUUUUCUCACUUCUCUGAUUACACUUGUAUUUUGGCUAAAGUUUUUCCUCAGACAAAAGGCAGACUGAGGACAUGGGGGCUAAGGGCCCCAAGGUUCUGCUCCAUUUCACCCUGACCUGGAACUCAUCGCUCCUCCUUGUCCUACUGCUGAGCAAUUCAGAGCUCCUAGUUCAACUGACUUGAAUAGAACUGAAUUUAAUGUUUCCCUUCAAUGCAUUUCUGAUAAUGUUUUUAUGAGGAAACACACAGCAAGCUUCACAGAAGCUUCGCUUCACUUCAGUUCCUUAGUGUGAGCAUUUUAAACCCAGUGUUCUCUGACCCCCCCUCAGGUCUUUAUCAGUGGGCACAUGAGGCAGUGUCUCUGGGUCACCCAAAGUAAGAAAAGGCUUUCCAGGUGGCGCAAAUGGUAAAGAACCCACUUGCCAAUGCAGGAGACAUAAGAGAUGCGGGCUCAAUCCCUGGGUGGGGAAGAUCACCUGGAGGAGGGCAUAGCAAACCCACUCCAGCUGCCUGGAGAAUCCCAUAGACAGAGGAGCCUGGUGGGGUACAGUCGAUAGGAUUGUAAAGAGUUGAACACAACUGAAGUGACUUAGAACACCAUGUAAGAAAAUGUCAUCAUGAUUAGAUUU